rnacentral:rRNA from 1 species
UACGUAGGGUGCGGGCGUUAAUCGGAAUUACUGGGCGUAAAGCGUGCGCAGGCGGCUCCUUAAGUCAGAUGUGAAAUCCCCGGGCUUAACCUGGGAACUGCGUUUGAAACUGGGGAGCUGGAGUGUGGAAGAGGGGGGUGGAAUUCCAGGUGUAGCAGUGAAAUGCGUAGAGAUCUGGAGGAACACCGAUGGCGAAGGCAGCCCCCUGGGCUAACACUGACGCUCAUGCACGAAAGCGUGGGGAGCAAACAGG